AGCGACGUCAAACCGAUAAAACAGCAGUGUAAAGUGAGCCGCAGGGCGCUUUGCGCGACAGCGCAAAGGCAGGCGGUUUCGCGUAGCGAAAGCGAAUGCUUUGGGGUGGGGUGACUGCGUACCUUUUGUAUAAUGGGUCAGCGACUUAUAUUCUGUAGCAAGGUUAACCGAAUAGGGGAGCCGGAGGGAAACCGAGUCUUAAUUGGGCGUUAAGUUGCAGGGUAUAGACCCGAAACCCGGUGAUCUAGCCAUGGGCAGGUUGAAGGUUGGGUAACACUAACUGGAGGACCGAACCGACUAAUGUUGAAAAAUUAGCGGAUGACCUGUGGCUGGGGGUGAAAGGCCAAUCAAACCGGGAGAUAGCUGGUUCUCCCCGAAAGCUAUUUAGGUAGCGCCUCGUGAAUUCAUCUCCGGGGGUAGAGCACUGUUUCGGCUAGGGGGCCAUCCCGGCUUACCAACCCGAUGCAAACUGCGAAUACCGGAGAAUGUUAUCACGGGAGACACACGGCGGGUGCUAACGUCCGUCGUGAAGAGGGAAACAACCCAGACCGCCAGCUAAGGUCCCAAAGUCAUGGUUAAGUGGGAAACGAUGUGGGAAGGCCCAGACAGCCAGGAUGUUGGCUUAGAAGCAGCCAUCAUUUAAAGAAAGCGUAAUAGCUCACUGGUCGAGUCGGCCUGCGCGGAAGAUGUAACGGGGCUAAACCAUGCACCGAAGCUGCGGCAGCGACACUGUGUGUUGUUGGGUAGGGGAGCGUUCUGUAAGCCUGCGAAGGUGGCCUGUGAGGGUUGCUGGAGGUAUCAGAAGUGCGAAUGCUGACAUAAGUAACGAUAAAGCGGGUGAAAAGCCCGCUCGCCGGAAGACCAAGGGUUCCUGUCCAACGUUAAUCGGGGCAGGGUGAGUCGACCCCUAAGGCGAGGCCGAAAGGCGUAGUCGAUGGGAAACGGGUUAAUAUUCCCGUACUUGGUGUUACUGCGAAGGGGGGACGGAGAAGGCUAUGUUGGCCGGGCGACGGUUGUCCCGGUUUAAGCGUGUAGGUGUGUGUUCCAGGUAAAUCCGGUUCACUUUAACACUGAGGCGUGACGACGAGGCACUACGGUGCUGAAGCAACAAAUGCCCUGCUUCCAGGAAAAGCCUCUAAGCAUCAGGUAACAUCAAAUCGUACCCCAAACCGACACAGGUGGUCAGGUAGAGAAUACCAAGGCGCUUGAGAGAACUCGGGUGAAGGAACUAGGCAAAAUGGUGCCGUAACUUCGGGAGAAGGCACGCUGACACGUAGGUGAAGUGAUUUACUCAUGGAGCUGAAGUCAGUCGAAGAUACCAGCUGGCUGCAACUGUUUAUUAAAAACACAGCACUGUGCAAACACGAAAGUGGACGUAUACGGUGUGACGCCUGCCCGGUGCCGGAAGGUUAAUUGAUGGGGUCAGCGCAAGCGAAGCUCCUGAUCGAAGCCCCGGUAAACGGCGGCCGUAACUAUAACGGUCCUAAGGUAGCGAAAUUCCUUGUCGGGUAAGUUCCGACCUGCACGAAUGGCGUAAUGAUGGCCAGGCUGUCUCCACCCGAGACUCAGUGAAAUUGAACUCGCUGUGAAGAUGCAGUGUACCCGCGGCAAGACGGAAAGACCCCGUGAACCUUUACUAUAGCUUGACACUGAACAUUGAGCCUUGAUGUGUAGGAUAGGUGGGAGGCUUUGAAGUGUGGACGCCAGUCUGCAUGGAGCCGACCUUGAAAUACCACCCUUUAAUGUUUGAUGUUCUAACGUGGACCCGUUACCCGGGUUGCGGACAGUGUCUGGUGGGUAGUUUGACUGGGGCGGUCUCCUCCUAAAGAGUAACGGAGGAGCACGAAGGUUGGCUAAUCCUGGUCGGACAUCAGGAGGUUAGUGCAAUGGCAUAAGCCAGCUUGACUGCGAGCGUGACGGCGCGAGCAGGUGCGAAAGCAGGUCAUAGUGAUCCGGUGGUUCUGAAUGGAAGGGCCAUCGCUCAACGGAUAAAAGGUACUCCGGGGAUAACAGGCUGAUACCGCCCAAGAGUUCAUAUCGACGGCGGUGUUUGGCACCUCGAUGUCGGCUCAUCACAUCCUGGGGCUGAAGUAGGUCCCAAGGGUAUGGCUGUUCGCCAUUUAAAGUGGUACGCGAGCUGGGUUUAGAACGUCGUGAGACAGUUCGGUCCCUAUCUGCCGUGGGCGCUGGAGAACUGAGGGGGGCUGCUCCUAGUACGAGAGGACCGGAGUGGACGCAUCACUGGUGUUCGGGUUGUCAUGCCAAUGGCACUGCCCGGUAGCUAAAUGCGGAAGAGAUAAGUGCUGAAAGCAUCUAAGCACGAAACUUGCCCCGAGAUGAGUUCUCCCUGAGACUUAGAGUCUCCUGAAGGAACGUUGAAGACGACGACGUUGAUAGGCCGGGUGUGUAAGCGCAGCGAUGCGUUGAGCUAACCGGUACUAAUGAACCGUGAGGCUUAACCUUACAACGCCGAAG
rnacentral:rRNA from 1 species